rnacentral:rRNA from 1 species
UAGGGAAUCUUCCGCAAUGGGCGAAAGCCUGACGGAGCAACGCCGCGUGAGUGAUGAAGGUCUUCGGAUCGUAAAACUCUGUUAUUAGGGAAGAACAAAAGUGUAAGUAACUAUGCACGACUUGACGGUACCUAAUCAGAAAGCCACGGCUAACUACGUGCCAGCAGCCGCGGUAAUACGUAGGUGGCACGCGUUAUCCGGAAUUAUUGGGCGUAAAGUGCGCGUAGGCGGUUUUUUAAGUCUGAUGUGAAAGCCCACGGCUCAACCGUGGAGGGUCAUUGGAAACUGGAAGACUUGAGUGCGGAAGAGGAAAGUGAAAUUCCAUGUGUGGCGGUGAAAGGCGCAGAGAUAUGGAGGAAAACCAGUGGCGAAGGCGACUUUCUGGUCUGUAACUGACGCUGGUGUGCGAAAGCGUGGGGAUCAAACAGA